CUUAGAGGAGAUCGGCCGUGAAUCCCUUUUCUAAUGAGAUGCUAGAGAGAAGUAGUGAUCGGUUGUAGCACUCGAGUCUCAGAAAAGUGUAAAUUGCGUUCAUCUGCCCAUUCUGCCAUUUGCGGUGCCGUAAUUCUUCUCACCCUUUAGCUUUUCCUAUAGCAAUCCUGCAACUGUGCUUCUCAACCGCAGAGUGAGUCCUGUUGGGUUUUGUUUGUGAGAAACGAUAUCAGGGAUGGCGUGAAUGAUACGAUUACAGGGUGGCCUUGAAGCAGGAGCUGAAAAUCACGCAUUGGAAUUCCAACUCAGGCUUUUCAGUUUGAACGAAUGCCUGCAGAGGCGAUUGUGUAGUGUGUGGCGAGUGUAGGGCUGCGGCAGUCUUACGAAAUUUGGGUUUCUGUUACACGAAAACCUAAUUGUCAGGAGUGACGCGUAGGAUAUUUUGUAGCAAUGGAACUAUGCAAGUAGGUUAUGGCCUCCUUAAUAUAUAUUUUUAAAAUCUUGUUUCGCUGUCGACGAUCUCUACGAAACAAGCGGUUGGGUCUGGGGACAUACAGUGACCACCCCAACCGAGUUUCUUCGUUUAAAGAAGGCUAUAUCUUCGAUCGCAGAAACACGGCUUCGUGAGUGAUAUAGCUCAUGCGAGCAGGUAAAAUUCUAUUCACUAAUUCCAGGGAAAGAAAAUCUAGAUUAAUAUGCCCUGAGGAAGUUCAGUUGCAUGUUAAGUGUGGACUUCAGGCUUCACGUUCAGCUUCUACAAGAAUCAGACAAUUGCAAGACAAUACGGUAAAUUACUGUCCGACUUUGCCAGCAUAGGGGAAGCUUAGAGCCAGCGAAAAGUAAGCAUGACAAUCUAAAUCGAGCGCUGCGCUGGAUGCUGUGAAUAGCGAUUUUGAUGACCUUUAAUUUUGUGAAGAUCGUCUCACAAGGUAGAUGCUUCAGGGUCAGGUUGAACAGCUGCUCAUGAUCCUUCCACUUUAGUAUCAGCACUGGGUGCUACUAGUCAUAAGCACGAGUGACUCUAGGUAAAUUGCCUUCAACCCGCUGGGGACUCACCAAGGUCCGCUCAGACCCUUAGAUGUUCUGUACAAGUUUGUGAUAGUUUCAACCAAAUGGUUGAUUAUCAAGUCAAGUCGUUGCGGCGACCGGACGACCACAAACUCAGAAAAUAUAUCGAAAAAGGCACUGCUCAGACAAGAUUUGUGUUGGAAACGAAGAGUUUUCUUCAACGCCUUCUCACGAAAGCUAAAAGCGAGCUGGGAUUAUCGAAUCAUCAUAGCAGCAGCCAAAAACAUACCAACGGGUCUGAAACCCCAAAAGAACAGAAUACAGCACUUAGACACAAAUCUAACAGCACCAACAAACAGUGAGUAACGAAAAACAAGAAACAGAACAAAACAAAGAAGACCCAAAUCCCAAAACCGACAUUUUUAGCGACGGUUACACCACGCCAUAAGAAGCUAACCUAUCAACCCAAAAACAACAUGGAGGUCGGGGAAAAGGGAGAGAGCUUGAAGACAGUCUCAACAAGCGAUGGCGGAACUUAUAGGGCUCCGGCGACCAGCUUGGCUUGACUAGGCAAACCCUAAAUCAGUGAUCUAUUUUCGGGAACGUUGGUUCGCAAUGGAGAAGGCGGACGUUCUCAUCCCCCGUUCCCACUUAAAAGAACAGGAUCCCAUGUUACCUACUAUUGUUAUCUACCAUGGUAGAUAGUAAAAACAAAUUAAAGAUUAGGAAAUAAAAUUUGGUGUUCGAAGAUCGUUAUUGACACGACACGUGGUAAAUUUGGCACACUAUAUAUUGUUAUAUUGUUAAGUGCUUACUGGCAGAACACAAAUAAAAUUCUUUUUUUUUCUGGA